GUUACAAGUGUCACACGGAACUGCCGGUCAUAAACCGGAGGAAGUGGGGAUGACGUCAAGUCAGCAUGGCCUUUAUAUCCUGGGCUACACACACGCUACAAUGGGAAGGGACAAUAGGUUGCGAAGCCGCGAGGCGGAGCCAAUCCAGCAAAACUUCCCUCAGUUCAGAUUGCAGGCUGCAACUCGCCUGCAUGAAGUUGGAGUUGCUAGUAAACGCAGGUCCAGCCAUACUGCGUUGAAUACGUUCCCGGGGCUU
rnacentral:rRNA from 1 species